AGCUGAUUAUUUGUUUAUAUUUGCGCUUACACAUAAAAUUUACUUUUAUUUUGAAAUAUGAGUAAACACGGGAAUCACCAUUAAAUUGUGUGUAUACUCUGUUCCAAAUAUGCAAAAGCCAUUGUUUUUCAACAGGGCAUACGAUAUACAUAUAAUCAGUUUGUUGCCGUCUAAAAAUAACUACGGAUAAAUAAUAUGUAGAUGCCUACUAUACACAAAUAGGUAUAGAAGGAACAAAUUUCCACUAUUAAAACAUAUAUACAUAGUAUGCACUCGGUGCAAUGUGCUACAACGCAAUUAUUUUAGAAAUGCAAUAGAAUUAUGUGCUAUUUAUAAAAAAAAGUACAAAAUGUUCGCUUGUGGCGGCAAAAAGUGGUUUAAAUCUAAGCGUACUAAAUAUGAUGAUAAAGAACUUGAUCAGAUUUGGCCGCCAUAUGGUUCAGAUUUUAUGCUCACCGAACACGGCAAGAGAUUACUGCAUAAAUUGCAAUAUGUGCAAAAACCUGAUAUCAGUGAUAUUGAUGUAGAGAGUCUCAUAGAGCAAUCUUUGCGCUUCCCAAUCAAGUUUGGUCGUGAUACAUGUCGCGUAAUGAGUCAACCAAAGGAACGCUAUGAUGAAAUUACAAAACAAAUUGCUUCUGCUUAUCCGUUAAUACAUGAACGUGUUGUUGGUUUAUAUUUGGCAUUUUUGGAGCACAAAUGCAAAUAUGGUAAUGAGCUGGAACGCGCAAUUUAUGUAGAUAUGACUCUUACAGAUCUAGUCCAACGUUUACUUGAGAAACGUUGUGUAGCCUUCGUAGGGCCACUCGACGACUAUCUGCUUUUGAAGGGCAGAAAAACCUUAGCUAAUUUUUUCGAUGUAGGCACCGUUGAUGAGAAAGCGCCAUUGUUAUUAAAAGACGUUUUAAGUUAUGAUGAGAUAAAGCUUUCCGCUUUUCUUUCAGUAUCAUCACACACCGAAUUUUUAAACAAUGGUAGACGUUUUAAUGCUGGCAUCAUUGAAGAGGAUAAAUCAAAAAUAGAAAUUGAAGGUGUUAUCAUAGGUAUAAUCGGCGGCCGUUUCGAGGCAGAAGAUGUAAUGGAGUGGCAGGAUAUUAUGAUAACACCAAUGCAAAAUACGAAAGCACGUGGUUAUGGUUACAAAACGAAAUCAGCAAUGAAGACAAAAAAUCCAAAGGUUGACUACCGACAAUUGUGGAUACGUUUUUAUGAAGAACAAGAUUUGCUUUAUGCUAAAGUAGAAAACAUAAAUUCACCACGUUUCUUUAAAGAUAAAAUUACACGUUAUAUUUUUGACAAUCUGAUGAUGAAAAAACGUUAUGCUAUAACAUUCGAUACACUACUGUUGGAGUCUAACGCGCGUGGUAAAGCUAUCGAAAAACAAGUGUAUCUACAUGUGGUUGGUAUUGGAUUGGGCGCCUGGCGUGCCGUACAACAUCAGGAUAAAAUAUUUUUGAAAACGUUUAAAGAGCGCAUGCAUGCGCUUUUAUUAUGCCUUACACAUAUAUCGGUGGUACACUUUUCGAAUUUUCGCCCAUCCGCUGCGAAAGACUUUAUAACGGAUGGUGAUAAGAUUGUGUCGGCAAAUCACCCUAGCGGCGGUAUACAAACAUUUGUGCAAGAUCGUUAUCCAGCGGAGAAAUUAAUUACUUUUUAGCCGCCAGCAUAUGAAAAAAUGUUAAUAGUUGAAUCGUACGCCUGGGAUGGCAAUGCAUUGCCAGGAAAUGAGUUUUGGAAGGGCGCUCUCACCAGCUCCGGUGAUCCUGCCGCUGCUUGCAGCACUCUAAUUGCAGAACUACAUAAUCCCCAUAUAAACAGUAAAAUGGUGAAUGGCGAAAAUUUGCAUGUGGCCUCCGAACGCUACGGUGUCUUACAUAUAGCUGAAUACGCCAAAAAAAUAUUAGGUUAGAUUAAAGCACGUGCUAUUAAGAAUUUUAUUACUUUGUUUUUCAUUGUCUAAAAGUAUUCAAUAACAUAAAUGGCAUUCGUAUUAUAAUUAUACACUGAAACUACAUUUUUACAAAA